rnacentral:miRNA from 1 species
ACGGGUCGCUCUCACCUAGG